AUUGAACGCUGGCGGCAGGCUUAACACAUGCAAGUCGAACGCACCGCAAGGUGAGUGGCAGACGGGUGAGUAACGCGUGGGAACCUACCCCUUGGUACGGGAUAGCUCCGGGAAACUGGAGAUAAUACCGUAUGUGACCUGAGGGUCAAAGAUUCAUCGCCAAGGGAUGGGCCCGCGUCGGAUUAGCUAGUUGGUGGGGUAACGGCCUACCAAGGCGACGAUCCGUAGCUGGUCUAAGAGGAUGAUCAGCCACAUUGGGACUGAGACACAGCCCAAACUCCUACGGGAGGCAGCAGUGGGGAAUAUUGGACAAUGGGCGCAAGCCUGAUCCAGCCAUGCCGCGUGAGUGAUGAAGGCCCUAGGGUUGUAAAGCUCUUUCACCGGGGAUGAUAAUGACGGUACCCGGAGAAGAAGCCCCGGCUAACUUCGUGCCAGCCGCCGCAGUAA
rnacentral:rRNA from 1 species